GAUGAAGAACGCAGCGAAAUGCGAUACGUAAUGUGAAUUGCAGAAUUCAGUGAAUCAUCGAGUCUUUGAACGCACAUUGCGCCCCCUGGUAUUCCGGGGGGCAUGCCUGUCCGAGCGUCAUUGCUGCCCUCAAGCACGGCUUGUGUGUUGGGCCCCCGCCCCCCGGUUCCCGGGGGGCGGGCCCGAAAGGCAGCGGCGGCACCGCGUCCGGUCCUCGAGCGUAUGGGGCUUCGUCACCCGCUCCGUAGGCCCGGCCGGCGCCCGCCGGCGUCCCCCCCUCAAUCUUUCCAGGUUGACCUCGGAUCAGGUAGGGAUACCCGCUGAACUUAAGCAUAUCAAUAAGCGGAGGA
rnacentral:misc_RNA from 1 species